GACGAACGCUGGCGGCGUGCUUAACACAUGCAAGUCGAACGGAAAGGCCUCUUUCGGGGGGUACUCGAGUGGCGAACGGGUGAGUAACACGUGAGUAACCUGCCCUUGACUUUGGGAUAACUUCAGGAAACUGGGGCUAAUACCGGAUAGGAGCUCCUGCUGCAUGGUGGGGGUUGGAAAGUUUCGGCGGUUGGGGAUGGACUCGCGGCUUAUCAGCUUGUUGGUGGGGUAGUGGCUUACCAAGGCUUUGACGGGUAGCCGGCCUGAGAGGGUGACCGGCCACAUUGGGACUGAGAUACGGCCCAGACUCCUACGGGAGGCAGCAGUGGGGAAUAUUGCACAAUGGGUGGAAGCCUGAUGCAGCAACGCCGUGGGCGGGGUGACGGCCUUCGGGUUGUAAACCGCUUUCGCUCAUGACGAAGCUUUGUGUGACGGUAGUGGGUAAAGAAGCACCGGCUAACUACGUG
rnacentral:rRNA from 1 species